UCCCACUUGGAUGCAGAGUGCGUCACAUCAAGUCCUAAUUCAGCCCUUACCUUACUCCAACACUCAUAACCGCUAACACUGCACAGCCUUACCUGGGCCAGGUGUAUUCUGCACCCCUCGGCAAAGGCAGGGCUGGAGCGCUUUGAGCCUGUAUGGACUUUAUCCUGUCAGCAGAGGAACCUGCAGCUUUGGAGCAUUGGCAAGAGUCCAGGUGGUACCUGUAAGAGGGAUUGGCUGGGACCAUUGAGGAACAGUGACACAAAACUUCCGGUUAAAGUAAAGGAAUAAAAGAGGAAAGUGAAAAAAGAGAAGAAAAAAAGAGCAAGCAGAGCUAUAGCUUGCAAGUAUGACGGGCUGCUGCAGAAACAGGAGCACAGAACAGCAAGAUUACAUCUUCCCAGAUCUGAACACCACUGCCCUGCUUGAUGCUGCCUGAGAGACCCCAUCUUUCCCCACUUCCUGCAAAGGAUCCUCUAGCUCGCCCUUCUGCUUCCAAACACCUGCACACCGGCUCUUUCCCUGACUUCAAAGACUGCCUCUGCUUCUUGCCUGGCUCCCUGCAAGCAUAUGCCACAUCUUUCAUUAGCUCCACAUCAAGACUUUGGAGAGCUAGAACUCCACCUUUUUCCUCUUUGUGCUCACACAGGGCUCCUCUCAGAAACAAAUAGUAAAAACAAAGUAUCACCUUCUCUUGGCCUCAUAUGGUUUUAAUGUUUUGUUUUUAAGGAGAAGCAGGAAAGCAGAAGAGGUUUGCUAACUUGAGUGUGACCCCACGGAUGGAAGUAACAGAGCUAGAAUUAAAAUCUAGGGCUUGUUGCUGCACGUGCCCCCUCUCAUGGCCCUCUAAACCCCUGAGUGUCCUCGCGCUGGGGAUCAGGGCACGGGCAGACUCACCCAUGGUAACUCUGCUUUCAAGGUCAAAGACUAUCUUUAGCUGCCCAUGCAGCUGUGGCCAAAAUUACCUUCAAUUCAACGUCCUGUUAUGAGCUCCUUCAACAUCAUUUUCUUUUCACACAAGGAGCUGUGACAUUUGAUUUGGCGUAGGCACCGGGUGGGGCUGUUUUUCCGGUGGUGGCUUUGCACUUUGGCAAUUAGGUCUGCAAUCUCAAAAACAACGGCAGCCAGGCUGCAGAGGAGAGAGAAAGAGAGAACAUUCUAUCAUGUCAGAAUAAUGAGAUCUGUGAUUUCAGCACUUACUAGGUCAAAGACACAGACAAUGUGUUAUCUGUAAUGCUUUCCUCCUGACAUUUGAGGAAAUUGCAUUUAUGCAGAGGACAUGGGACGCUGGGACGUGGCACUCCACGGAUGCCACUCAGAGUUGACAGAAUGCAGUCUCUCCUGCCAGAGCCUGGACCUUGCCAUUCCUCAGGGAGGCUGAGCCCUGGCCCAGGCAGGGACACAGUAGGGGUCCUGAAGACCUGCUUUGCCUACCUCUCCUCUAGCUAAGGAAACAGUCCAGCAUCCACACACAGAGUGGUUGAUCAGGUACAACUGUGCAUUGCUUAAUGAUGGGGACAUAUUCUCAGAAAUAUGUCACUGAGUGACUGCACUGGAGUGUGACCAUCACUGAGUGUGCUCCUAGACUGAAAUUGCUAUGAUGUUGCUAGGCCAUAUAUUCUCAGAGGACUCCCUUCCUGUACAUCUUUGGCCACCAUUGUUGCAAAGUACACAGCUCAACCUUUUUGAGCAUCCGAUGGAUGAAAUUCUCUACCAAUCCAACAUCUUCCUGACCCCGUUUCUCUUCUGUUCUUCCCAGUGUACCAGGAAGUUUGGGAAGGCCCUGGGCUGCUUCUUUUGAAAUACAUAUGAGGCAGGAAGUUUACCAUCUCUGUGUGCAUCUACCCCCUUUCCCUGUCUCCUGGCUCUCUCUCUCUCUCUCUCUCUCUCUCUCUCUCUCUCUCUCUCUCUCUUUCUCUCUCUUUCUCGCUCUUGCUCUGUCUCCACUCCUCAGUGGCAGUGUUUCAGUGUUUACUAGGGAAACAGACAUAACACAAGAUAUACAAAUGUAUAAUUUGUAAGAUUGCCUGGCAGUGGCCACCCGCAGAGUCAGAUGAUGAAGUGUGCAGAGGACCUCUGCACACUGAACACUGAAGGGUCCAGCCUGAGGUCUGGAGCUCACUGCAGUAUCCCGUGCGAAUCUGUAUUAGGAGACCGAUGGGUCUGUGAUGGAAGGCUGAGUUGUCUACACCAGAAGGCUGCGGGUCAGUGCCGGAAGCUAAAGAGUCUGCCCUGGAAGCCAGGAGAUGACGUGCAAGGUGAAGGUGAAGGUGAAGACUGGAGCUCUUUAAAGGAAGAAGAAACCAAUCACCCUUCUUCAUUUCCGCUUUAUCCUGACCGGGCAGUGCGCUUCCCUAGGGGGGGCCUUCUACACCCUUGGCGGUGGGAUUUCUGAGCUGAUUUAGCUGAACUUCUCUUACCAAGCUGACACAAUCAGUCCACCAUCACAGAUGGUGCUGAAGGGAUGAUUUUCCAGCCACAGGUGUCUUGUGUGGUUUUGAACUGAACCUACCUGCUACACAGCAGGCAGACAGAAGGGAGAGCACACGUGUGCACAAGCUCACCCACCCACACACACUCACAUACAGAGAGAAAAGCCUAGCUGGGGCUGACUCUCCUGGUCAAUGGUGGUGCUCAAGCUGCUCCUCUAGACAUAACGUUUCAAAAGAUCCUUUCCUGCUCCACCUGGGAACCGAGUCUCUUCUGUUAAAUGGGCUGACAGUGCACCCCACAUCCACCCCCAAAGACGCUGGUAUUUCUUGGAGCAGUCAAAUGAAGCAUUUGGAUUGAAAAAAAGUUUUCACAUGCUUUUAGGACAAAACUCUCUUUUUAAAACCCUCACUUGGAUCCCUGGUAUUAAAAACAAAUUAGGGUGAUGAGCUGACUCCCUCUCCUGGCUCCUUGGUGGUUUGUGAGGUGCAGGUCAAUACCGGCUUCGCCCCUAAGUACCUCGCAGGAUCCCCAGGAAUCUGUAAGCACUGAACAGAUACUGAGCUCUUGCCAACCUUAAUCAGAGAUGCCAAGUGAUACACGCAGUCAGCUGGAAGCUGGGUUGUAACCUGGCUUUCCCACACUCACAUAUACUAAAUAUAUUCAUGCCUCUGUUAAGGAUGUGGAGUAGAAAUUCAUUCACUGUCACAGAAUCAGUGAUUGAGGCCCACAGCUGAAUAGAGGAAGCACUAACCGCCAUGCUUUAGAGAGAGUCACUGGCAGUUAGGCCAGCGCCUUCUCCCAGGGCUUCCUGUGCAUGUCAACACUGAUCACCUACACCUUCCCACGCUGGCCCUCAGAGCUGUGGAAUGAGAGGUACCAUAAUGGGGUUGGUGGAGCUGCAGGGCUCAUGGUGAAGGAGCGAGGAAGGGGUCUUGGGCUCCCUUUCCCAAGAUGGGAAAUGGGAGGGUCCACUUGUGUGACAUGUUACGGUGAAGCUGAUUGUCAAUCUUCUCAGAUUGACAGAUGCUCAGAGAGUUGAGUGGACUCUGAAGGCACUAACCUCCUCAAUGGAUUAACCCAGGGAGGAAUGCUUAGGUCUUUGGCUUUAGUUCCAGGAGCGACUAACUGGAGGAAAGGGAUGGGCCUUGGGGACUAUUAUCUGCUCCCUGGUCCCUUUCUCUAUGAUUCUUGCUUACUCUGCUUCCUGCCUGCUGUGAGAAGAGCAGUUUUCUCCCAUCACACACAUUUCUGCUGUGAUGCUUCUACUCACUGGAAGCAACAGAGUCAACUAAAAAUUCUGAAAAUAUAAGCUGAGAUAAGCAUUUCCUCUUUUAAGUUGUGUUUUCCAGGUAAUUUUUCCCCAGCAAUUGAAAGGUGACUAACAGAACUUACACAGAUGGAAAAGUCAAUAUUUAUUUUCUUGGCUAUAAGUGACUCAUAGACCAGCCAUGGAGCCAGAAGAAAACAGAGUUGGAGCAGUCUUCCCUACUUCUGGCUUUGUGAGUUCUUCUUAGAUUAAGGAGGCACCAUGAAGAAAGCUGGCCUGGGCAUCUGGCUGCAUUGCACUAGAGGAUUACUCUUUAAGAAAGUGACCCAGGAGUAAGAGCCUUCAAGAUGGACUGCAGGUGGCCAGAGCCAAGGGGCUGGGGUGAAGGAGGAAAAUUAGAGGUGGGUGUGGUCCAGCAGAGCCCUGUACAGUGGGGUGGAUCCACACAAUCCUGCAAAACUCUCAGUGAGUGCUGCACAGAGAGCAAUACAGAGAGGUCAGUGCUGCCCACCGCUGGCACCAUCCUAACCACGCACAUCCUGGCAAAGGGAGGCUUCCUCCUCCCAUGUGGCAUGUGAAAACCCUGACUCCCCACCCUCUUACAGGUCUCACAGCCCUACAUGCAGUCAGUGAUGGAAACAGGAAGAACCUCAAAAUGCAUAAACAUGAAAGUGAGGAGCAGGCUGAAUUUCUUCUUUGACUUUUUAUUGUGGAAAAUUUUAAAUAAACAGAAGUGUGGGACAAUCAGAACAAUGAACAUCCAAUUAAUCACCUCUUAGUUUCAUUAAUUAUUAAGAUCUAGCUCCCACUUUCCUUCUUUUCUUCUCCCCUCCCUUCCUGUCUCCAUCCCUCCAUCUCCAUCCCUCCUUUCCUUCCUUCUCUGCAUCAUCUACCUGUCUCAGAGUGAACUGUCAUCCCAUGACACUUCGUCUCGGAACAGUUUUGUCUAUUUUCUUAAAAUUAAGGAUAUUCUUCAAAUCAGGAAGUCACAAUCACACAGAAAGAAAACAAUUUCCAAAAGCCUUUGAAUGUACUGUAUCAAACCACUUUAAUCAAUGAGUAUGAUUAGAAAGUUGCAGUUUCUGCCUGAGAUGCUUGGAGAUCGCCUACAGAGAUGGCACCUCGCGAGUGGAAGGAAAGAAGGACCAGGCCAGCAGCCUUGGCCUCAGCUGCUGAAGGCAGGAAUAGAUUCAGUGUUGGUCACAUCUUUGCAUCCUUCAAUGACGCUUUUGUCCAUGUCACUGAUUUUUCUGGCAGGGCAGCCAUGUGUCGUGUGACUGGUGGGCUGGGGUGAAGGCUGGUUGAGAUGAACCUGCCCUGAACACUGCCGUGGUGGCUGCCCGGGACAUGGCCCCGAGGUGCAAAGAGUUGGGCAUCACCACCCUGCAUAUCAAACUCUGGACCACACCAGGAAACAGGACUAAGAUCCCAGGCCUGGUGCUCCAUCAGUCCUCAGAGCACUUGCCAACUCGAGAAUGAAGAUUGGGUGGCUUGAGGAUGUCACCCCGGUGCCCUCCAACAGCACCUGCAGGAAGGGAGGUCAGCAAGGUUGCUAUCUGUGAACAAGACUCAAAUUGUUUUCUGUUAAUAAAUUAGCUUUGUGUAAGCUAAAUAAAUAAAUAAGAGAAGGUAAUUAAAGCUAUCACAAGUGAGGCCACGAUUAGAAGAAAUAAAACUGCUUCUUGCUUGUAUUCCCACGAUUGAGACUCCUCAAGAAAUCACUUACCUCUGCUGAGUCUCCCAUCGGAUACGGCUGCCGCUUUGUUUGAACUCAGGGCUUGCUCAUCACCCUUGGGGGCAGCCCUUUCUCGGCUGCUAUUUGACCUCCGCUCCACCCUUUGCAAUGGUGUCCAGAUGAAAGGGAGCAGAGGAGUGACAGAGGGAUUCCCCUCCAUGUUAUCCCACCCACAGGGCUGCAUUUUGUGAACGUGGAGGUGCAGCCAGAUGCCGUAGGGAGGAACAAAGAAGACAGAGACUAAAAGCCAGCAGUUAGACUCAGGGCCCUGGGACUGCUUGCCUUCAGGUAGGAAUGGAUCCCAGCUGUGUGGGCCAGAUGUUCUUCCUUAAUGUGUGACCGUAUGUGCAGCCAUCAACAAGGGGUCUGAGCACAUGAGAUAGAGGUCUGAGGACAGGGGGAGCAUGAUGGGGCAAAUCUGGGGCGAGAAGUCUUGGCGGGGAGAGACAGCACCUGGAGAUGGUCUACAGGCAGCAGGGUUGGUCUUAUCCUGGUGCCCAGGUCUCUGCAGUUCCUGGCAUGCCUGGCUUCCUGGUUUUAAGUAAAUGAAACUUUUGGUUGACUCUUUGGCUAAAACUCAGAUUAAGGAGCAAGAGAAAUUAAAGACAACAGUUUUGAGGUUAAAGUUAAAGCCUAAAUGUCAACGUGGCGUUCAAAAUCAGAGCACAGCUAUAAUUGUGUAAUAAUGGGGGUGGGGGUUGAGCCCCAGACAUUGGGCCAGGGCCUCUCCGACUCGACUCUGCCUGUGGUUAGGUUCUGGCUGGAGAACCGAGAGGUCUGUACCUAUGUCUGAGGGUAGAACAGGUCUCCAGAGACUGGGCUGCAGGCUAAGCUGGGCAGAGGGCAGGAAGUUGUUCUAUCAAUAAAAUGACAAGAAACAGCAGAGUCGUUAAGUUUUCCUUCAGAAGCUCUAUAAAGACAGGGCUACCAGCAUGGCUUGUGUAGUGUGAGCUGGGAGCUAGGAGGGUGAGAGGAGGUACAUCAGAGAGGGGCAUCCAGGGCUCAUGGACCUUGCCAUCUGCUUGGGUUGGGAAAAAUGCACCUCACAGAUAAAGCAUAGAGCGGGGAACCAAAAUGCUGGAACACACUUGGCCCCAGGGAGUUAGAGACUGAACGCUCUCCUUUUCCUACAAGGGACACUGGAAUUGCAUCUCUCUCUGCUUUCCCUCUUCCUGCUUCUGGGCUGGUCUCCAAAGCUGGCUCCGAGGGACUGCUUCACCUGGCAUUCACGUUCUUGGUUGCUCCCCGUUUGUGUGUUCCUCUGACCUGGUCUUUGCAGAUCAACAGUGGGCAGAUCAAACGGGACGGCAAAGCACCCUGUUUAAUGCCAGUGGCUUCCAUCUUCCUGUUCCCCAUCUUCUUUGCCAAAGACCCAACUUCCAUGAGAUGAGAAUGGGUGCCUUCUGCUCAGCUCCAGGUAACAAGCAUGAUGCCUGGACCCUGAAGACAAUGACACACAUGAUCUGAUGGAUGCAGAAAGGAGGGACUCUGUGGUGCCUGUGCUGACAGGUUGUAUUGUCUCUCAGUAGACAACAUACCCGCGGCUUUCCCGUGCAAUGACGCAACACCUUUUUCUGCACUGCCAGGAAGCCAAUGGGGAGGCAGCAACUGAGGCCUGAGCCUGCCCCGGGCUGGAACCAGCCCCCUGGGGCUCCUUUGAUGAUGAGGAAAUUGAAUCAUGCUGAUGUAAAGUGGGCUGCCCUGUCCAGCAGCCGAUCUUUUCGGGCAAUUAUUUGGAAGUAAUGAAAGUGAAUGCAUGACAUUUAAAAAGAAACUCCUCUGUCAGCAGGAAAGCUGCCACAUUCUCCUGCACCUCUGAGAAUAAGCUUAGCUUGAAAUAAUGUUCAUUUUAGCCAAGUUGUAAAUUACAAGUGUGUUGGGGUCCGAGGGGAUUUAUUACGAGUCGGAAAGAGGUUAUUGGGCUUUGUGCAGGCUGCUGCAUAUGGUGCAUGUUACAAAGUGGCUAUGUCGUGAAGUUUGUAGCGAGGGAUAAAGUACCUUUCUGCUUGCUUUUUUGCUCUGGGUCUAUUUUUUUUUUCUUUUACAGUUUCUCUCUGGAGGCUUCUGAUUGCUAAUGUUCCACAGAAACACCAGCAAUAAAGAGUACAAUGUUGCAA